GUAAUUUGAAGUGAUCACAGUAACUAUUAAGAAAAUCUAAAAUUUCAGUUCGAGUGACAUAACUCUUAUCGUUUUCUGGUAUUGGAAAAUCUGGAUAGCCCAUUACUUCUUUUGAAUUUUUUGCUUCCAAAAGAUGAAAAUUCAAUCUUACCGCAGACUUUUGUACAUACUGGAAUGAAUAGGCAGUCCAUAAUGAUCAACGCCGAUCUCUGGAGUAUAAACCCAGGGUCUUCAGUGGCGAGAAGAAGAACGACGUGACGGACAGCUGCUAAUCCGGCGCUUCCUGCUCCAACUAUUGCUAUACGCAUUUUAAUGAUAUUUUACAAAUAUUCUAACGUUAAAUAAAUCGAACACAGUUAUGAUCCA